AUUUUUGAUAAUCAACCAUUUUAAGCAUUGGUGUUUCAUUCGAACUUUUCCAUCUUCCAUUCAUCAUCUGCAUUGACAAAAGGGUGCCAUAGUGUUAUACUGUCUGUCUCUUGUUUGAUUUCUCAAGCCAUUACUGAGAGAAGAAGCAACCAGAAGGAUGGAAGAUGGGACACGUGUCCCGUGAUCCACCUGACGUCUGUGUUGAAAUGAGCCACCUCCACACGUGCCAUGGUUUCAACAGUAGCCUUUCAUUCUUUAACCUCCACAUUUUCAGCACAUCCAACCCAGGCAGAAAGAAUUAUUUUUUCAACAAAAGAUGGAAACUAAUAUGUUCUGAAUGGACAGGAACUGGGCGAGCGAGAAAUAGAGUUGCACUGGGAUAGACACGUCCGUAAAUGUACUCUGAGCCCCAGAGCAGACACGUGUAGUGGCUGUCAUCACAUGUACAUCAUCACGUGCCACGUGUUCCCAAACAAAGGCGUGAACAUGGACAAUAGAUCAGGAGAAUUUGAGCUUUACUCUGUUCUUUAAAUUGACUGCAUAUGACAGUGUUUUUCUUAGUGGUUUUAUAGAAGCUAUUGUGUCAGGUAAUCAGAGCAUUACAGAAUCUGUGCAAUGUGGAAAUGUUUGAGACUGUAGAGUUGGGACCUGGCAUCAGAUGUACAAAAAUAGCACAAAUCAGCAGAUGUCAUCUAUUUCAUUUGACACAGACUAAAUAAGAGCAUAGACUGUACUUAUGUCAAUCAAAUUAUCAUUUGUUUGUUUGUUCUAUCUAGUAUUCGUUCUUAGUUUGUUCAUUCAUGUAAUCUGCAUGUCAUUUUAUCCAUCCAUCUAUACCAUCCAUCUGUCUGUCCAUCCAUCUAUCCAUCCAUCCAUCCAUCCAUCCAUCCAUCCAAAUUCAAAAUCUCAGAAUUUAACUUUAAGAAUUCAUCGAUUCUAGAUUGUUAUAAAUAUGGUUAUUUGUACUGAAUUGUUAAAUCUUGAAAAAGCAUUUAGCAAACAUUCAUUUUAUACUAAAUAUAUUAUUUACAUGCGCUACUGUUCAAACGUUUAGUCUCUUAUGCUCACCAAUGUUUCGUUUAUUUGAUCAAAAUUAUAGUAAAAAU
ensembl:lncRNA